AGGAGUAACAGAAGUGUAAAGCAGGGGGUUUACGAGUGGGCACGACGGUAUCUUGCCGAUACCGAAGCGUGUUGUUGUUUUCUAACCCUAACCCUAAAAUCCGAUCCUCUUUAUCUUAAGAGGAUCUUUCGUGUGUUUAACCCUAAACAAUUGUGUUUGGAUGUUCACACAAAUUGGUUUGUUCGCACUUCUUCCAAGUAAAAAUAAAAUGUCAAGUGUAUUCUCCGUAAACCCCUUAUUUUUGGAAGUUUGAAGAACCUAGAGCUCUUAUCGUUACAUUUUU
rnacentral:telomerase_RNA from 1 species